UGGCUGAAUUAAAUGGUGUUGAACCAGUUCAGUUUCUCAGUUUCAGUUUCUAAGCUAACUUUCUAAGAAAGGAAUGGAAUGGCCCAAGCCUUGUGACGCCGAGUUUUCCUGAAGCUUCAAGGCAAGGGCAGGGAUUACCGUAUUGGUGUUCCCCACCCUGGAGCCUAGGGAAGCACCUGGUGAGUGGCUAACUUGGAC